AGUGAACGCUGGCGGCGUGCUUAACACAUGCAAGUCGAACGAGAACGGAUUAUAGCUUGCUAUAAUUGUCAGCUAAGUGGCGCACGGGUGAGUAAUGUAUAGGUAAUAUGCCUCUUACUAAGGGAUAACAAAUGGAAACGUUUGCUAAUACCUUAUACUCCUUAUUAACAGAAGUUAAUAAGGGAAAGAUUUAUUGGUAAGAGAUUAGCCUGUAUUGUAUCAGUUAGUUGGUGGGGUAAUGGCCUACCAAGACUAUGACACAUAACUGGUUUGAGAGGAUGAUCAGUCACACUGGAACUGAGACACGGUCCAGAAUCCUACGGGAGGCAGCAGUGGGGAAUAUUGCACAAUGGACGAAAGUCUGAUGCAGCAACGCCGCGUGGAGGAUGACACAUUUCGGUGCGUAAACUCCUUUUAUAUGAGAAGAUAAUGACGGUAUUAUAUGAAUAAGCACCGGCUAACUCCGUGCCAGCAGCCGCGGUAA
rnacentral:rRNA from 1 species